CGAUGGCAAAGGGCAGCUACCUGGCGACAGGAUGCUAAUCUCCAAACCAUGUCUCAGUUCGGAUCGGAGUCUGCAACUCGACUCCGUGAAGCUGGAUUCGCUAGUAAUCGCGCAUCAGCCAUGGCGCGGUGAAUACGUUCCCGGGCCUUGUACACACCGCCCGUCAAGCCAUGGGAGCCGGGGGCGCCUGAAGUCCGGGACCGCGAGGACCGGCCUAGGGCGAAACUGGUAACUGGGGCUAAGUCGUAACAAGGUACC
rnacentral:rRNA from 1 species